rnacentral:rRNA from 1 species
GUUCGAUGGCUCAGAUUGAACGCUGGCGGGAUGCUUACAUGCAAGUCGAACGGCAGCACGGACUUCGGUCUGGUGGCGAGUGGCGAACGGGUGAGUAAUGUAUCGGAACGUGCUAGUAGCGAAAGGAUAACUACGCGAAAGCAGCAAUAAUACCGCCUACGCCCUUCGAAGCGGGGGACCUUCGGGCCUCGCACUAAUAGAGCGGCCGAUAUCGGAUUAGCUAGUUGGUGGGGUAACGGCUCACCAGGCGACGAUCCGUAGCUGGUUUGAAGGACGACCAAAUACACUGGGACAGAGAUACGGCCGAACUCCUACAGGGAGGCAGCGGUAAGAAUUUUGGACAAUGGAAACCUGAUCCAGCCAUCCGCGUGUGCGAUGAAGGCCUUCGGGUUGUAAAGCACUUUUGGCAGGAAAGAAACGGCGGGAUAAUACGAUACUGACCAUGCGCCUACAGGAAUAAGCACCGGCUAACUAAAUUGCCAGCAGCCGCGGUAAUACGUGAGGUGCAAGCGUUAAUCGGAAUUACUGGGCGUAAAGCGUGCGCAGGCGGUUCGAAGAAAGAUGUGAAAUCCAGAGCUUAACUUUGGAACUGCAUUUUUAACUACCGAGCUGAAGUGUCAGAGGUGGAAUUCCGCGUGUAGCAGUGAAAUGCGUAGAUAUGGAAGACACCGAUGGCGAGGCAACCUCCUGGGAUAACACUGACGCUCAUGCACGAAAAGCGUGGGAGCAAACAGGAUUAGAUACCCUGGUAGUCCGCGCCCUAAACGAUGUCAACUAGCUGUUGGGGCCUUCAGGCCUUGGUAGCGCAAUAACGCGUGAGAUUACGACCUUGCAAGUACAGUUAUAAAGAUUAAAACUCAAAGGAAUUGACGGGGACCCACACCAAGCGGUGGAUGAUGUGGAUUAAUUCGAUGCAACGCAACCUUACCUACCCUUGACAUGUCUGGAAUCCCGAAGAGAUUUGGGAGUGUCGCCGAGAACCGGAACACAGAACAACAUGGCUGUCGUCAGCUCGUGUCGUGAGAUGUUGGGUUAAGUCCCGCAACGAGCGCAACCCUUGUCAUUAGUUGCUGCGAAAGAGGGCACUCUAAUGGAGCUGCCGGUGAUGAAACCGGAGGAAGGUGGGGAUGACGUCAAGUCCUCGUGGCCCUUAUGGGUAGGGCUUCACAUCUUGUAAUGGUCGGGACAGAGGGUCGCCAACCCGCGAGGAGCCAAUCCCGAAGCCAGUCGUAGUCCGGAUCGCAGUCUGCAACUCGACUGCGUGAAGUCAGAAUCCGCUAGUAAUCGCGGAUCAGCAUGUCGCGGUGAAUACGUUCGGGUCUUGUCCACCGCCCGUCUCACACCAUGGGAGUGGGUUUACCAGAAGUAGUUAGCCCUAACCCGUGAGAGGCGAUUACCACGGUAGGAUUCAUGACUGGGGUGAAGUCGUAACAAGUAA